rnacentral:tRNA from 1 species
UUUAGGGAGACCUACCCACUCAGCAGGAGUUGCGCAGUACGAAGAGUACGAGCGCAGGAUUUCUUGCAAGAGUUGGUUAUCCCAAGGUCGAGCAGGGAUGAGUGAAGCUGUCUUCCAAACUACACCAGGUUUUAUGAAAGGGCUAUUAGCUCAGGUGGUUAGAGCGCACCCCUGAUAAGGGUGAGGUCCCUGGUUCGAGUCCAGGAUGGCCCACCUUAAAAAACUUGGUUGAUCUAAUUUUGGGGGUUUAGCUCAGUUGGUAGAGCGCCUGCUUUGCAAGCAGGAUGUCAGCAGUUCGAGUCUGCUAACCCCCAUGGGCCUUGAAUAGAGCCCUUUGCAUGAGUUUAUAUUUCGGCAAUUGAUCUAGCGAGGGCGUUAGACGGUUUGCUGGAUUAAGCUCCAGCGAAGCACCUUGAAAACUGCAUAGUAGAAGAAGUCAGGUAGAGAAGACUGAGCCUUGUUCAUGGUACUGAGCGAGGGCAACGAAGACUCGGAAGGGUCAAGUUGAACCGAGUGAGGGAGUAGUGAAGGAGGAGCAGUUCAGGAAACAGACAUUCAAGAGAGAA